AGGCGAACCGGGGGAACUGAAACAUCUAAGUACCCCGAGGAAAAGAAAUCAACCGAGAUUCCCCCAGUAGCGGCGAGCGAACGGGGAGGAGCCCAGAGCCUGAAUCAGCAUGUGUGUUAGUGGAAGCGUCUGGAAAGGCGCGCGAUACAGGGUGACAGCCCCGUACACAAAAGCGCAUGUGCUGUGAGCUCGAUGAGUAGGGCGGGACACGUGGUAUCCUGUCUGAAUAUGGGGGGACCAUCCUCCAAGGCUAAAUACUCCUGACUGACCGAUAGUGAACCAGUACCGUGAGGGAAAGGCGAAAAGAACCCCGGCGAGGGGAGUGAAAAAGAACCUGAAACCGUGUACGUACAAGCAGUGGGAGCACCCUUUGGGGUGUGACUGCGUACCUUUUGUAUAAUGGGUCAGCGACUUAUAUUCUGUAGCAAGGUUAACCGCAUAGGGGAGCCGGAGGGAAACCGAGUCUUAAUUGGGCGUUAAGUUGCAGGGUAUAGACCCGAAACCCGGUGAUCUAGCCAUGGGCAGGUUGAAGGUUGGGUAACACUAACUGGAGGACCGAACCGACUAAUGUUGAAAAAUUAGCGGAUGACCUGUGGCUGGGGGUGAAAGGCCAAUCAAACCGGGAGAUAGCUGGUUCUCCCCGAAAGCUAUUUAGGUAGCGCCUCGUGAAUUCAUCUCCGGGGGUAGAGCACUGUUUCGGCUAGGGGGCCAUCCCGGCUUACCAACCCGAUGCAAACUGCGAAUACCGGAGAAUGUUAUCACGGGAGACACACGGCGGGUGCUAACGUCCGUCGUGAAGAGGGAAACAACCCAGACCGCCAGCUAAGGUCCCAAAGUCAUGGUUAAGUGGGAAACGAUGUGGGAAGGCCCAGACAGCCAGGAUGUUGGCUUAGAAGCAGCCAUCAUUUAAAGAAAGCGUAAUAGCUCACUGGUCGAGUCGGCCUGCGCGGAAGAUGUAACGGGGCUAAACCAUGCACCGAAGCUGCGGCAGCGACACUCAGGUGUUGUUGGGUAGGGGAGCGUUCUGUAAGCCUGCGAAGGUGUGUCGUGAGGCAUGCUGGAGGUAUCAGAAGUGCGAAUGCUGACAUAAGUAACGAUAAAGCGGGUGAAAAGCCCGCUCGCCGGAAGACCAAGGGUUCCUGUCCAACGUUAAUCGGGGCAGGGUGAGUCGACCCCUAAGGCGAGGCCGAAAGGCGUAGUCGAUGGGAAACGGGUUAAUAUUCCCGUACUUGGUGUUACUGCGAAGGGGGGACGGAGAAGGCUAUGUUGGCCGGGCGACGGUUGUCCCGGUUUAAGCGUGUAGGUGUGUGUUCCAGGUAAAUCCGGUU
rnacentral:rRNA from 1 species